UUGCUAGCUUGCUAAUAAUUCUCUAGUGGCGCACGGGUGAGUAACACGUGAGUAACCUGCCCCCAAGAGUGGGAUAGCCCCGGGAAACUGGGAUUAAUACCGCAUAAAAUCGCAAGAUUAAAGCAGCAAUGCGCUUGGGGAUGGGCUCGCGUCCUAUUAGUUAGUUGGUGAGGUAACGGCUCACCAAGGCGAUGACGGGUAGCCGGUCUGAGAGGAUGUCCGGCCACACUGGAACUGAGACACGGUCCAGACACCUACGGGUGGCAGCAGUCGAGAAUCAUUCACAAUGGGGGAAACCCUGAUGGUGCGACGCCGCGUGGGGGAAUGAAGGUCUUCGGAUUGUAAACCCCUGUCAUGUGGGAGCAAAUUAAAAAGAUAGUACCACAAGAGGAAGAGACGGCUAACUCUGUGCCAGCAGCCGCGGUAAUACAGAGGUCUCAAGCGUUGUUCGGAAUCACUGGGCGUAAAGCGUGCGUAGGCGGUUUCGUAAGUCGUGUGUGAAAGGCGGGGGCUCAACCCCCGGACUGCACAUGAUACUGCGAGACUAGAGUAAUGGAGGGGGAACCGGAAUUCUCGGUGUAGCAGUGAAAUGCGUAGAUAUCGAGAGGAACACUCGUGGCGAAGGCGGGUUCCUGGACAUUAACUGAC
rnacentral:rRNA from 1 species